rnacentral:rRNA from 1 species
AUUGAACGCUGGCGGCAGGCCUAACACAUGCAAGUCGAGCGGAUGACGGGAGCUUGCUCCUUGAUUCAGCGGCGGACGGGUGAGUAAUGCCUAGGAAUCUGCCUGGUAGUGGGGGACAACGUUUCGAAAGGAACGCUAAUACCGCAUACGUCCUACGGGAGAAAGCAGGGGACCUUCGGGCCUUGCGCUAUCAGAUGAGCCUAGGUCGGAUUAGCUAGUUGGUGGGGUAAUGGCUCACCAAGGCGACGAUCCGUAACUGGUCUGGGAGGAUGAUCAGUAACACUGGAACUGAGACACGGUCCAGACUCCUACGGGAGGCAGCACUGGGGAAUAUUGGACAAUGGGCGAAAGCCUGAUCCAGCCAUGCCUCGUGUGUGAAGAAGGUCUUCGGAUUGUAAAGCACUUUAAGUUGGGAGGAAGGGCAGUAAGUGAAUACCUUGCUGUUUUGACGUUACCGACAGAAUAAGCACCGGCUAACUCUGUGCCAGCAGCCGCGGUAA